UACGGGGGGGGCAAGCGUUGUUCGGAAUUACUGGGCGUAAAGGGCUCGUAGGUGGCCAACUAAGUCAGACGUGAAAUCCCUCAGCUUAACUGGGGAACUGCGUCUGAUACUGGAUGGCUUGAGUUUGGGAGAGGGAUGCGGAAUUCCCGGUGUAGCGGUGAAAUGCGUAGAUAUCUGGAGGAACACCGGUGGCGAAGGCGGCCUGCUGGGCAGUUGCUGACGCUGAGGCGCGACAGCGUGGGGAGCAAACAGG
rnacentral:rRNA from 1 species